rnacentral:rRNA from 1 species
UACGAAGGGUGCAAACGUUGCUCGGAAUUAUUGGGCGUAAAGCGCACGUAGGCGGCUUAGCAAGUCGGAUGUGAAAUCCCUCGGCUCAACCAAGGAAGUGCAUCCGAAACUGCUGAGCUUGAGUACGAAAGAGGAUCGCGGAAUUCCCGGUGUAGAGGUGAAAUUCGUAGAUAUUGGGAGGAACACCAAUGGCGAAGGCAGCUCGCUGGGACGUUACUGACGCUGAGACGCGAAAGCGUGGGGAGCAAACAGG